rnacentral:rRNA from 1 species
AUGAACGCUGGCGGCGUGCCUAAUACAUGCAAGUCGAGCGAACAGACGAGGAGCUUGCUCCUCUGACGUUAGCGGCGGACGGGUGAGUAACACGUGGAUAACCUACCUAUAAGACUGGGAUAACUUCGGGAAACCGGAGCUAAUACCGGAUAAUAUAUUGAACCGCCUGGUUCAAUAGUGAAAGACGGUUUUGCUGUCACUUAUAGAUGGAUCCGCGCCGCAUUAGCUAGUUGGUAAGGUAACGGCGUACCAAGGCAACGAUGCGUAGCCGACCUGAGAGGGUGAUCGGCCACACUGGAACUGAGACACGGUCCAGACUCCUACGGGAGGCAGCAGUAGGGAAUCUUCCGCAAUGGGCGAAAGCCUGACGGAGCAACGCCGCGUGAGUGAUGAAGGUCUUCGGAUCGUAAAACUCUGUUAUUAGGGAAGAACAAAUGUGUAAGUAACUAUGCACGUCUUGACGGUACCUAAUCAGAAAGCCACGGCUAACUACGUG